UACAGAGGGUGCAAGCGUUGUUCGGAAUUAUUGGGCGUAAAGCGCGUGUAGGCGGCUUUGCAAGUCGGGUGUGAAAGCCCUCAGCUUAACUGAGGAAGUGCGCCCGAAACUGCUUGGCUUGAGUACCGGAGAGGAUGGCGGAAUUCCCCAAGUAGAGGUGAAAUUCGUAGAUAUGGGGAGGAACACCGGUGGCGAAGGCGGCCAUCUGGACGGAUACUGACGCUGAGACGCGAAAGCGUGGUAGCAAACAGG
rnacentral:rRNA from 1 species